CUUCUCCUUUCUGUCUUUUGUCUAUGCUCCUCAUUUCCUCGUUUCCUUUUCCUUUUUCAUAUCAUUUAUUUAUACUUUCUUACAAUCUUAGUAAUUAUAUAUACUUUAGGAGUGUCUGCAAAACAUCACUACGUUCGUGAAUUUGUAGUUGACUACUUGUGGAAUUUCACUAACAAAAUAACUACUAGGUUAUUGAGUUAUACAAUUUAGAUCUUAUCAUAGUUAACUUUACAAGGAAAAAACUAGACAUGAAACAUUCUAGAUCUGGUCAAUUGAUAAGAUCUAGUAUGUGUUUGAUUUUUUAUCUAACCGAUAUGACAUGUCAACCUUGUGUGAUUUUUAUAAAAUUGAAAGACUAUGAAGGAAGGGAAGAAGACCAUGAUGUUAUUAUUAAAAAAAGAUUCACAAAUAUGAAAUCAAAUCAAUGAAGUACCAAAGACAACAAUGCCGCAACCUUCAAUUGCCCAACACGCCGCCAUUUGGAAUACAUAACACCUUCUUCCUCAGUCGCAGUCACGUUUGCCGCCUGCCAUCGCAUUAGCUAGUGGCAACCAAGAAGAAGAUGAAAAGGCAAUGGUUCUGGAGAAACCGUUCGAGAUUUUGAUCUAAACAUUCCCUUGUGCUUAGAAUCUUCUAUGCCUAAAACUAAUGGCUUGUGUGAAAUUAGAGAUAGUGGCGUAAUUUAGUUUUACUUUUUCUGUUUUCGUCGUCGAACGUUUUUGGCAUGUAAUAUAUGGUAGCUACAAGUUAACAAGAAUCAUUAUUGUUAAACCUUACUAAUUUAAAACAAAAAAUAUAUAUCAAUUGUUCAUGUUAGGUAGGUGUUAAACCCUUAUGAUAAGGGUAGAAUAUGAUUCUAUAAAAGUGGUGUACACAUGUAAUGGAGUCUUCCUUUAGAUGUAGUAACAAUGAAUUGUACAAUAAGGAGUGAAAACUAUUCAAUAUUUCCUCUUCUUUUUAGGAUGUCGUGUAGAAAAUGAAUUUGUUUUUUUACAUCAGAAGAUUCUUGGUCAUCACUGCAUUUGUUAUCGCUUAAUUUCUAAGGUUGUUUAUUCUUCACGGCUUCAGCUUCCAACCGCUUCUCCUCGUAGUUCAUUCAUGUAAUUGAUCUUGUUGAGUCCUAACUCUUCUUUGAACUUAUAGUUGUUUUCAUAGACGAAGCACUUCAACUUAUCGUUCAUGUCUCGAACUUCGACGACCUCGUGGGUGAAUCUUUCUACAUACUCCUUAAGGGUGUAUUUCUUUCCUUAAAUUACUGCAUUCCGUGCCACCAUCGGUUUCAGCUACUUUCUCCUGGCAGUGAAAUGGGGGGUAAGCUCUUCACAAAGCUCCCUCUAACAAUCAAUAGAGUCGUCCUAAAGGCCUUUAAACCAAGUCCUCGAUGCAACUUUCAAUGCGAGGACAAAUAUUUUACACUUAAUUGCCCGAGCUCCUGAUGGGAGUUGGUGAUGGUAUCAAUGUCGCUGACAUGUAUCUUUUGGGUUGGGGUGUUAAUGGGGAGGCUAGAAGUGGCGUAUGAGGCUGUUUGCAUGGGAAAAGGAGUUGAUGAGGAAUACUAUUGGGUUCUAAAGCUUCUUCCUUUCCAAAGGCGGCAUAUUUUGGCUUAUAAUGACACUCAAUGUUCGUCUGAUUGUGGUUACUUGGAGGAUCGAGACCGCUUCAUUUUCUCAAUGUGAUUUCUUUGGUUGAUUAUGAAAUUUAAUUUUUGUCUGGCCUGGUUUCUCAAAGGUUCAUCACGGUAAUAUUUUAGAUCAUCUUCUUUGGUGCUAUAGGCGGAUUUUCCAAAAACUAUCGAUUGACUUUUAACAUUAUAUGGAUUUCGGUGCUCUGCAUCAUUUAGAAUGGGAGGAAUGGGAGGAUUUUUCAAUCACAAGGCUGAUCUUCUUCAUUCCUUAGCCGAGAAGGUUAAAAUUCAGAUUUUUUGGUGGUUGAGAUCAUAUUAUGCUUUGUUCGAUUUAGAUUACCUCACCUGAAAGUUGAAUCCUUUGUCGUGUUUAAAGGCUAUUUGUUAUUAUUUUUUUUUAUUUCCUUUGUUGAUCGGACAAUUGUGUCGUGUAUUAUAAAACUCUUGAAUUUGUAAGUUUCUCUGAUACACCUU